AAGCCACCCAUACUUUCAUUAUUAGGCACAGCAUGUAGCACAUAAAAUUUUGUCUGUUAAUUCCCAAUUUCCUCUUUGUCUUUACCAAACAUUGCCUUUGGGUGAUAGCAAUGAAAAUCCUGGGCUUUGCUAAUCUAAUUUUUUUGUCUUUAACCGUUUCUUUACUUAAAUGAAUAAUUUUAGAUAAUGGCUUGAAUCUGCUUUUUUUUUUUUUUUUUUUUUUUUUUUUGAGACUUGGAACAGAAGCCUUGCAUCAGUGUGCUCUCGCCUGGGAUCAUGGAGUCCAACUCUGGGGCAUUAUGUCCUUCUUGCAGAUUCAUCUCAAGGACUGUUAAGCACAAUGUCAUCAGGCAUGUAUACAGCUUGGACGGUACACUCCAGCCUAUGCUUUUCUGCAGUUGCCUCUCCAAGACUUUGUGCCAAGUGUCCAUGGCAAUGUUCUGGCAGUGGGGCAUGCUGCAGGGGUGGCUUCCAUGAGAAGAGGGCAUGGGUGCCCCAUGUCAGACAUAUCUGAUUCCAGCUGAACUUUUUGUGUUCCAGCACAGCAAGCUGGUGGUACCUCUGGGAAAAACAGUUGCAAAAGGGGAAAGACAGGCAGAGCCUCUGGACAGGCAGAGCAGGGAACAAAAAGUGUGAGAAGCACACAGGAAGAGGUGCUUCAUGGCAGAGCAGAUACUCCCUGCAGCACCUGGAGAAUCAAUGACAGAGCAGAUAUUCCUGAAAGGGACUUCAUCUCAUGGGAAACCCAUAGUAGAGCACAUGAAAAGAGUGAGAAGGAAGGAGAGGCAGAGAGAAACAGCUACAUCCUGAAUGCCCCCUGCCCUGCCAUGCCACUUUCACUUCACUGAAGGAGAGAUGUUUGGAAUGAAGUUGAGCCUGGGAAUAGGGGAGGAAAGGUGUUUUACUUAAGUAUGCAUGUUUAUUUCUUUUUUGUUGUUGUUUUUGCUUCCCACUAGCCAAAUCAGUCAUUAAAUAUUUAUUUUAGUUUUCAAUAAAUUAAGUUGAAUUCUCCA
rnacentral:lncRNA from 1 species